CCUUCCUCCUCUCUAUCCUCACCUGUUCCUCAUCUUGUAAUCAGCGUCUGUGUAUUUAGUCUCCGUGUUCCCUUCACUCCUUGUCCGGUCAUUGUUUUCUGUUUGUCUUGGUUUGUCUUUGGCGGUUCAUGUUCCAGUUCGAACUCCUGUUCCGUUUGGUAUGUUUUGGUUUUGAGUUUUCCAUGUUUGAGUUGAACUUUGAUUUUUUGAUUUGUACUUUGUCUCGCUGUUUUCUUUUGUCGUUACUUUAGUCUUGCUGCUUUCUUUGCUACUUUGUUUUGGGGUUUUUUUGGACCCCCUUGGUUUCUCACACUGCGAUUGUUGCAUUCAGCUUUGUGUAAUAAAGCUCACCUUUUGUUUCCCUUAUCUUGCCUCCUGCGUAACUGCGUUUCGGUCCACCUUCCCCUUCCAUAGUCUUCCCUUUUAACCAAACCCUGACAGAAUGACCGGACCAAAAAUGGACCCAGCAGACUACAGCCUACAGCUUUGUAGGCUGGGGGACAGACUGUUGGAGGUUGUGAGUGGCGAGGCUGACACAGAGGAGAAGCUAAGAGCCAUAGCUAGUUUUGAUAAGGAACUGUUUAUUAGGCCUUGGUUGAAGGGAAUCCCAUGUGUCGCACUCUUUAAAGCAGAGCUGGCUAACCUCAGAAAGGCCUUGGUGGCUUCAGCCAUAGCAAAGCUACCAGCCCCAGCCUCAGCUAAAAUGUCUCCUUUCUGGGGAACCCACCUGUCCUACAAAGUGCCCCCACCAAGAAAGUGACGAGACCGUCUACGUCCUGGCUCCCUGAAGUCAGGCUCAGGGGCCUCAGCCCAUACCUCAGCUCCAGCCACAGCCGAGCUCCGAGCCCAGGCCUCAGCCACAGCCGAGCUCCGAGCCCAGGCCUCAGCCACAGCCGAGCUCCCAGCCCAGACCUCAGUCUAAACCCCGCCAACACCUGCCAGUGGCCCUCAGUCGGCGGUCCAGAUGGCGCCUGUUCCUGCACCUCGGUCGGUGGUCCGGCCGAGGCCUGUUCCUGCACCCACGCCAAGUCCAUUGUCUGCUCCUCGGUCGGGGGCCCGGCCGAGGUUGUUUGUUGCCAGAGACCCUUCAUCGGCUCCUAGGCCAUCAGCUCCCGGCAAAAAUCUUUUGGUGGUCCGGCCAAGACCCUGGAGGGUUUCCCAGCCAGUGGUCUGGUCUUCAGUGGGUCUCAGCCCAUGCCUUCGUCGCCGGCCUCCAGGGGGUUCCUGCCCGCGCUUACGCCUUCGUUGGCAGCCUCCAGCGAGUUCCGGGCCGCGCCUACACCUUCGUCGCCAGCCACCAGAACACCUUCAUUUUCUUCGCCAGCCUCUAGUGGGUCCCAGUCCACAUCCCUGGCCUCCAGUGGGUCCUGGCCCUCACCUCCACCCUCCAGUUUGUUUGGACCUUGGCCCUCCCCCUGACCCCCUCCACCCUCCCAGCUUUGACUCUGGAUGUAAUCUAAUAUUGUUCCUUCAUUUUGGAUCUUUGUUCUGCACUCCUACACACUGUUUGCAUCUCUUGUCUCUGUGGUUUACAGGGUGUGCAUGUAGCAGAGCUAAUUUCAAAAGACAGUCCAGUACCAUCACAUUUCCUGUGUCAUAUACGUAUGAUGGGUUAAAAUGUGUGGGCAACAGUGAUGCAGCUCAGCACAAAUGUGUAUGUGAACACACACUUCUGCUUUACAGUGAAAACCUUGUAUCUCCUCAAAGUCACUGUCAAGACUUAAAGGCAACAAACAGUUUUAGUUUGUAGCUUCAAAUAUAUUUGUUUAUUUGAUGAGUGUCUUUAUUUAAAUGAAUAAACCAAUAAAAGUCUCAUUUUGAAACCAUUUCAAGUGAAGUGUGUCCUUUCAUGUGUUUAGCUGUGGUCUGUGCUGGUGUCACUUCCUGUGUUAGAGGCUGAACAACUCAAAGACGGACAGCAAAACCAGACAGUCAAACCUGUUUAAGAAUAGCUUCAGUUAAGUUUCCAGUUUGUAAAGAUGUCUGCAGAAAUUCUUGCUGCACCAGAUUCCAGCUUCAAUGUGAGAUUCACCAGAGGAGAGGGAGAGGAGAUGGAGGAGGAGAUCUUAGAGGAUGAAGAGCAUCACGCUGAUCUCGGGUCACAACAAGCCAGAUCAAACACUGAACAGAACGGUGCAGCCAUCAAAACAAGAUGUUUCAGAGCUCCUGCAGUGACUCUGGGAGUGAUGUAUCUUCUCAUACUGGCUGGAAUCUACACACGCUGUGAGUGAUUCAGUUUUAAUCCAGACUUUCAUAUCUUUGUAGGAAUGUCAUGUUCUAGACUUCUUUCAGUUAGAUAACACAACAGGUGCAUGUUCAUCUUCAUCAUCAUCGUAUCACUUUCUUCCUGCGAUCAGUUUUGUCCAAGAGACAUUUCAGGCUGUUUCUUGUCUCACUCUGUGUAGCAGAGGAAGUUAACAUUAUUUAUGAAGACAAAGAUGUAACCCUACACACUCAUACACUGUCAGGUGAGCAUUUCUCUGAGGAUGUAUAGAAAUCUUAACCAGGGACCAACAAUAAUGUUUCUUGCCACUGGCCCAGUCUGGUGAGUCUGCUGACAAUCUACCGGUCCAAACUCACUCUGUACCGGCCCUGAAUGGAGUUUCUACUUGGAGUACUUCUACUCCAUCACAGAUGUGAAUAUUGUACUUUCGACUGUAGUCUUUAACUUUAGUUACUAGUUAUAUUUUUGCAUCACAAUGUUUCGUUCACGUUGCUGGUAUGUCUCAUGGUUUUACAAACGACUACUAACAUCUUUAUCAGCCCCGACGUAACAUUUACUGUCUCUGCAAAACCACAGAUCAGUUAAAAUUGAACGUUUCCUUAUGUUGCAACUUUACAUUUGUUAAGGUUGAGUUUUUCUCCAUUUGUCUCUUAAUAAUUGAUCAUUUAUAACCACUUGGUUAUGGUCAGGAAAACAUCAUGGUUCUGCUUAAAACUGGUUCUGGUCACCACAAAAGCCACAGGAAAGGUCCGCAGCACUCAUUAAGAAACACCUGGUUUUGUCUCCAGAAGAACAGAUGGAAAUGUCUCUGGUGUCCUGAACAAUAUUCAGUGUUGUGACUCAAACAGCAGUGAUCUGUUUGGCUGUAAUAACGCCACCACCAGCCGCAACAGAUGUUUAAGAAGAAAAAAACAGUUUUGACUGAAGGGGGGCUUAAAUAUUUGUCUGAAGCUAUUUUGAUUCUUCAGAAGUCUGAGUCAUAAAAAUCAAGUGUCGAGCCUGAUCUAACAUAUGAUUGGCUGCCUGAACAAGAGGGACGGUUCUGUGUAUGUGCUCUAAGUGACCGCAAAGAAAAGGGGAAGUGCUCUGAAAAAAGAUGCUGGGAGCAGCACCUUCCUCUGCGCUCACUCCUCAUUAGAAACAGUUAAAAAAUGUGCUGUCGCUCAGACAAAAACGUUAUGAGGUCUCAGCCCUUACAGAGGAGUGCAAAAUGUAAAAGCACAAAAUGGCAAAAAGUGUUCCUGGUUUUACAAAGUAACUUAAUAUCACAGUAGAAGAAAGGUCAAAAAGAUUUCAGAAUAAACAAACAUAUCGUCCACUGAGCUGCAUCAAAGAUACUUUUACAUUUUUGUGUUUUGUUGAUAUUUGUGUCGUUGGCAUAUUUGGCCUGAUGGUGGCAGCACUGGAGGGUUUCACCACAAUCAUUUCAAAAAGCAAUCUGGCCGACAGCAGUGCAAGUUUCUAUUGUUAAAUGGUGGAUUGACAGAUGAUGUAAUACUGUGUUCUAGUGUCUACAUGAAUUGAUUGAUUGUAAAAUUUUCACCUCAUUGAACUUGUUGGAAACUGUUUUAGUUUCUCUAUAAGGCAAAAGUUAAAAAUAAAAAUAACUGACAAAGAAACAUUUCCUGUUUUGGACAGAAGAGAGAGAGAGACAGAGAGAGAGACAGAGAGAGAGAGAGAGAGGGUGUGAAGCAGUCAACUGAUGUGUGAAUUAGUGUGAGCAGAUCUAUUAAAACCCCGAAACUUGUAGCUCCAAACUCUAUUGUUUAAACAAAGACACAAUAGAAUUAUUCUGUGUGUAUUCAUAGUUUAUCUAAAUGUUAUCAUAAAUCUAAAGAUAAGACACUUCUGUCAUCCAGCUCUUAUAAAGUCCACCAUGUUUUCAUAAAGAGUCAAGUGAAUGAAAGGGAUGGCAUGUGUGAUUCUCUGCAUGUUGUUACUUCCUGAAUGUUUUCGACUGACACCAGACGGACGUCAGAUCAAGAAACUCUGCCAGCAGCAUCAGUACAGUGCACUACGUUAUCGUCUUUAUCUACCAUAGUUAGUGCUGCGUAUCAUACACGUACAGCAGCACAGUAACAGAUCAGCACAGUGCAGUAAAAGUAAGUGAAGUGCAGCUUCUCUCUAACGGUUUCAGUCCUCUAAAGAUGUCAUCAGAUAUUUAUGCCAAACCGGAUUUAUCCAAGAAGGUCAGAUACACCAGAAAGGAGGAGUGGCAGGAAAAUGAGGUGGAUAUCUACGAGAGUGCAGACGAUAUUGGAAUACAUGAUUUUCAGUCACAUGACGGAGGACCACAGAAUGAGAAACAACCUCCAGCCGUCCAAAGAAAGCGGUUCAGUUCUGCUGUAUUCUGUCUGGGAGUGCUGUGCUUUCUGAUGCUGACUGCAAUCAUCAUCCUAUCCACAUGUUACCCACAGAUCCACUAGAGGUCAGCAGCGAGUGUCCCAGUUUGCCUCAUCGAGGUGUGAAAGGUACCAACAUGUAUGAAGGUGCAGUACCAGCAGGGGGCGACAGUGAUGGGAUGGACUUAAACAAAAUAUUUUGGUGACUGUGGAAAAAGACCAGCUGCAGAACAGAUACAACACACUGAACACCAGCCACACCCAACUCCAGGAAACGGUUUCAGAGAAGAGGUGUCCUGAUGGAUGGACGAGAUCUGGAUGCAGCUGUUACUUUAGAUCCAAUGAGAUUAAAUCGUGGGAUCAGAGCAGAACUGACUGUCAGAACAAAGGAGCAGAUCUGGUGGUCAUAAACAACAGAGAUGAAAAUAAAUUUGUCAGAGACCUCAACAACAUGAAUGACGAGUCCUGGAUUGGUCUAAAGACAGAGUCAACAGGAAGAAGCCAUUAUGAAUGGAAAUGGGUGGACGGAUCACUGCUGACAGAAAUCGCCCAGGCACCAGGACUACAACGUGCUUCAUCAGACCACUACGCAGCAUCCUGCAAUCAACAAGGACAAUGGAUACAAAGCGAUUAUAGAUAUUAUAAGCACUAUAUCUGUGAGAAAUGUGUGUCUUGCAUUCUGUGACGUCAGAAGUGUGUAGUGUUGAGAUCAGCUCUGUAAACUCAGACACAUUUACAUGUAUUGUGUGCGACAUGCUCAAUAACCUGGAUCACUCAUAUUGUUCCUCUGCCUUACAUGCUGUAUAAUCUGACUGGAAGUGAUCCAACACAACUACAUGUGUGUUACUGACUUUGCAGGAUUAUCACAAUAAAAGCUUGUCUUCAUGUUGCUUUAGCUGAUUCAUAAGUUUGUGUUCAGUUCCAUCUGUCUGUGUUCAUUAUGUGAAAAUAAAGCCAAGUUGUGUCUGAGUCCUCUUUGAUACACCAGCUGCUGAUGUUCAGUGUGAAGCUUCUACAGGAGACAGAAACAUGCUUGAAGGUUCAUGUUUUGCCUCUUUAGUCAGUGUAAUGUGCUGCUGUCCAAUGAUUGAGAGAGGGGACUAUAGUUCAUAUCUGUAACCAUAAUAAUAAUUGUCAUCUUCCACUAUGAUAUUGACAUUUUCUAAUCUUAAAC